rnacentral:lncRNA from 1 species
GGUGAAUGGGACUCAAAAGUAUAUUGUGCAGUAAGCACUAAGCAGUUAUAUAUGUAGCCCUUAAUCCCUUAAAAAAAAUCACUAUGUACCCCUUAUCAGAUCAAAGCUGCCAAACAUCGGCUUCCACCCAAAAUGGGGUGUAAGAUGAUCCCUGUGCUGUCAAUACUUGUUCUACUGUUAUCACUUUCGCUACUCUUACCUCUAUCUUCAACCGCAAACACGCACUUAAUUGGUAAGCACACCUAAAACCUUCGUAAUUACUUAUAUAUACAUAUAUGUCUUUGGUUUAUUUUUCAGUGACUUGUUUUUAAUGUUGGGGUUCUACUUUAGGAAAGAAGAUGAAGCAAGAGAUUCGGAGAAAUCUGAUAGGUGUACACCCAGGAAGAGGAGGUCAUCCAGGAGGUGGUGCACCCGGCCAUGAUAGCGGGAAGGAAAACUUUACUCCCGCCACCAAAACCCAGGGCCAUAAUUAAUGCUCAGUAGACCGUGUUUGUAUUUCUACUUUUGUAUUUCAUGUCAAAAUCAACUCUCAUAAGGAAAACGAAGUUCGAACCUUAAAAUAAUAUUUUACACGCAUUAAAAUAUAAUAUUAAAAUAUAAUGAUUUUGAGUUGCGUAAAUAUUUUCAAAGGUUUUUAUACAUCUUCCAUAUACAAUAGAAAAGUUUUUUAUAUAGACAUCCAAUAGGUGUAUCUUUCUAUGAGAUAGUCUUUCAUAAGGGAUAUAUCUUUUAAUAAGAUGUCCUUUUAUAAGAUUGUGUUGUUUUACAAAAUAACUUUACAUAAAGCUAUAUUUUUAUAAGAUAACUUUACGUAUAAAAUAUACGUCUUUACAACACAACUAUUUAAUCAAUAAUUAUAAUUUAUUAGACUUUUCUACAUAAUAAAAUAUUAUUACUACCAACAUUAUAAACUACUAACAACCCCUCUAUUUUAAAAUGCUAGUAACUUACUUUAUAAUCUUUCACACAAACAAAUAUUAUGUAUACAAUAUGAUAUCUCUUGAUUUGAACCAUCAAUUAGUGGAUAUAUUUUGGAUUUCUAAUGAGGUUGAAAGAGUUCGAAGAUUGAACCAUAACUCUUAGUAUUAGGAGAGAAAAUACACCACACAUAAUAUGUAAACUCAUCCUCUAUAUGCAGUGGACCGCACUAGUUUCUAUUAAACUUGUUUUAAAAUGAGUUUUAUUAAUGCAUCACAGAUAAAUAACAAUAACUUGUUUUUACCCAUUAAACUUUAAAAUUAGAGGUUAUGAAUUAAAGGUUGGUUUCCUAUUAUCAGUGUUUAAUAAUAGGGUCGAAACUCAUUCUAAUUGUAAUACUACUAAACAAAGAAAAUUCUUUUCUCACAUUCACUAUCAUAAAUUAGAGAUUGAAUCUCUAGUAUAAAAUCAGUUCAUAGGUUAACAUGACCAAAUUAUUUUUUAACAUGUUUUUGGACAUCAUUUCCUUUUUUUUAGGAAGUAGAUGGCAUCAGUUGUAACCACAACUUUAAUUCUCAUUAAUACAAUUUUUUUACCAUUUUAUUUACAUAACUUUAAUCCAACUUUAAGUUGGGUAAAUGAAUAAAGAAUCCAAUUACUUUAAUUCUUCAAUAUUAAGAGUCAAAAUGACUUUUCUUUAGCAAGAUAGCUAAACUUAUUAGCUUGUAUAAUUUCACAAUGUGCAAUUAUACUAAAUAUUACGAUACUAUGGUGAUAUAUAUUAUUUCUUUAAUUUAUCCUUAAUAUAUAUGAAACCAACAUGUGCAAAAUGUACACUCUUUUACUAAAGAAUAUUUAAUUCAACAUUUAACGCACUCAUAGUGUGCAAAAUGUACGCUCUUUUACUAAAGAAUGUUUAAUUCAACAUUCAAGAUACCAUAUAUAUAUAAUAAUAUACUCAUUCAUCUUUUUACUAUUUAGUGAAUUCUUAAAUAUUAUUGUUCACAUAACUAUGAGACCUUCAACUAUCCAUCCUUAGUAAAAUAUCUCUGACACAACUCAUAUGAGAGAGCACAAAAGUAAGUAUAUAUAUCAAAUAUAAUCAUUCUCAAAACAAAAUGUUUAAUUUCAUGACAUUUUUGUGUUUUUCAAAAUAUAAUGUAAAUCUAUGCUUUUGAACUUAUUAGUCUUUCACAUUGACUAAUUUUUCUUUGUUGGUAUUCAAGUUUGCAUUAUUGAUCAAUCCUUCUAUAUAUAGAGUAUUGUAACACAAUUAUCAUGUAACGCCCCAAAAAUCCAAGUAAUUAUUUUUGUAUUUUUGUUACACAAUUGUGUAUCUAUUUCAGUGGUUAUAUGUUUUGGGAGUGUCUAAGAAGUCUUGGGUUCAAGCCUUGGCUUGGGCAAAAGUUUUGUUUUUAAUUGAAUAAACCCUUAUCCCUAGUCAGUAGACUUAAAAAUAAAUGUUGAUAAAAUAUGUUUGAAUAGGCUUAUUGGUCUAGUGGUUAAGUGGAGUGUUGGUUAUGUUUGAGAUCCUAAGUUCAAAUCCUUGCGCAAAUAAGGCAUUUAUUUUGCUGCUUGUGUCAUGUGAGAGUUUGAGAUUGACUAAAAUUCUGAGUAGUGGGAAAGAUGGAGUGAUUUUAGGAGGAAAUUAUGGGAUGUGGGAAGUUAUCUCGAUUUGGGGAGAAAAGUAAAGUGUUUGAGGGGUGUGGGGAAGUGUGGGAGCGAAUGUAGGGAUAGGAGGAGUUAAUUAAGGAAUUUUAAAGGUUAUCAGAAAAUCUGAUAGAGUUGUAUUUUGGUUUCUUACCAAAACUGUUUAUUUAUCUACCUUUCUAACGUAUUCCUUUUCUUUUCCCCUCUUACCGAAUUUUUCCAUUGGUUCCUCCCUCUCUCUUUUCCUUUGUCGAAAUAUGUCUCUCUUCUACCCUACUCCUUUCCUUUGUUUUCCUUUCUUAUUCCUUUUCCGCUGUGCCUCGGUUGUUUUUCCUAUGAUUGGUAAGAUUGUGUAUUAAUGGAAUUCUAUCGUUGUUUAUGGCUAAGUGGGUAAUAAGGGAUUUGUUUGGUGUUAGGGAGUAUACAAGGGGCAGAAGUUUCGCUAUCAAGGCUGCAAGUGUGCGAUAUUCUCGUCGCUUCAUUGAAGGUAAGGAGUUUUAAUGGUUAAAAGUUGGGAAAUCUCGUUAAGUUUUUUAUUGAAGGUUUAACGAAAAGGUUUUGUGACUCUCGUUUUAGGUUGAGACCAAGGGUCGGUUGGUGCAUCUUCAAGAAUCUGAGGGUUGUGUUUUCAAUUGAUUUCGGGAAGCGGGUUUCGAUUGUUGAUCGAUUCUUUACUUCAUUAGGCUUUGAUUGAAUAACGAAUUAAGUAGUUGACUAAUGUCGUUUUGGUUGAAUCUAGGUUUUUGGAGUGCUCGAAGUGCAGUUUAAUUACUAAUAGAAUUAGGUGUGUAAACACUGCCCAAACCAUAAACCGGUAAAAGCC